UACGAAGGGGGCUAGCGUUGCUCGGAAUUACUGGGCGUAAAGCGCACGUAGGCGGAUCUUUAAGUCAGGGGUGAAAUCCUGGAGCUCAACUCCAGAACUGCCUUUGAUACUGAGGACCUUGAGUUCGGGAGAGGUGAGUGGAACUGCGAGUGUAGAGGUGAAAUUCGUAGAUAUUCGCAAGAACACCAGUGGCGAAGGCGGCUCACUGGCCCGAUACUGACGCUGAGGUGCGAAAAGCGUGGGGG
rnacentral:rRNA from 1 species